GUGGGGAAUAUUGUACAAUGGGCGCAAGCCUGAUCCAGCCAUGCCGCGUGAGUGAUGAAGGCCCUAGGGUUGUAAAGCUCUUUCACCGGAGAAGAUAAUGACGGUAUCCGGAGAAGAAGCCCCGGCUAACUUCGUGCCAGCAGCCGCGGUAAUACGAAGGGGGCUAGCGUUGUUCGGAAUUACUGGGCGUAAAGCGCACGUAGGCGGACAUUUAAGUCAGGGGUGAAAUCCCGGGGCUCAACCCCGGAACUUCCUUUGAUACUGGGUGUGUGGAGUAUGGAAGAGGUAAGUGGAAUUCCGAGUGUAGAGGUGAAAUUCGUAGAUAUUCGGAGGAACACCAGUGGCGAAGGCGGCUUACUGGUCCAUUACUGACGCUGAGGUGCGAAAGCGUGGGGAGCAAACAGGAUUAGAAACCCUUGUAGUCC
rnacentral:rRNA from 1 species